UACCUUGUCAAACUUUUUUAUAAUAUUUGUUAUUUUUUGAUUCAGAGGAUACGAUAUUGGUAAUCAUUUCAGUGAAUGGAUAUUUGAUUAUAAUCAUCCACAUUAUCCCUUUUUUACCGGAGACGUCACCAAAUAUGCUUCUUAUGAUCAAAAGGUAUUUUUUGUCCGUGCGUAUUUACAAGCUUACAAUGAAACGACUGACGUCACGUUAGAC